AAAAGAAACUCAGCAUAGUUUUGUACUUGUGAAUAAUCAGGGUGAGGAAUAUAAACCUACACUCAGAAAUUAAAAGGUCAAGUUGUGAGGCAAACGAAAAGCUCUUUUUCAACUUCAACUCAGCUCCUGAAACCAAGAUCACACUUUGCUGCAAUGAUCAUUGAAAGAAGAAAGAAUUACUCCAUUUCACAGAAAUCUGGGGAAGAACAAAUCACACUUGGAAAGAAACGGGACCUUCAAGACACCCUAAUUCUUCUAUUCAAGAUGAUCUACCUUCUGUAGUCAUAAGAUCAUAUAGAAAAACCAAUGCCCAUAAUAUUCUUUCAAUA